rnacentral:rRNA from 1 species
CAGUAGCCGCGGGAAUACGUAGGGUGCGAGCGUUAAUCGGAAUUACUGGGCGUAAAGCGUGCGCAGGCGGUUUUGUAGGACAGGCGUGAAAUCCCCGGGCUCAACCUGGGAAUGGCGCUUGUGACUGCAAAGCUAGAGUGCGGCAGAGGGGGAUGGAAUUCCGCGUGUAGCAGUGAAAUGCGUAGAUAUGCGGAGGAACACCGAUGGCGAAGGCAAUCCCCUGGGCCUGCACUGACGCUCAUGCACGAAAGCGUGGGGAGCAAACAGGAUUAGAUACCCCCGUAGUCCCUGUCUCUUAUAA